GGGAGAUUACCCGAGCGGCCAAAGGGGACUGACUGUAACUCAGUUGUAUUAUACUUCACAGGUUCAAAUCCUGUAUCUCCCACCA
rnacentral:tRNA from 1 species